rnacentral:misc_RNA from 1 species
GAUGAAGAACGCAGCGAAAUGCGAUAAGUAAUGCGAAUUGCAGAAUUCCAGUGAGUCAUCGAAUCUUUGAACGCACAUUGCGCCCUUUGGUAUUCCGAAGGGCAUGCCUGUUCGAGCGUCAUUAUCACCCCUCAAGCCCUCGGCUUGGUGUUGGACGGUUUGGUGGAGGCCCCCUCGGGGGCUCCUGCCCCUCCCAAAGACAAUGACGGCGGCCUCGUUGGACCCCCGGUACACUGAGUUCUUCACGGGGCACGUAUCGGACACAUGGGUUUACGGGACACGGUCUGCCUCCCCUCAGGGAGAAUCUUUCUAAGGUUGACCUCGGAUCAGGUAGGGAUACCCGCUGAACUUAAGCAUAUCAAUAAGCGGAGGA